CCUACGGGAGGCAGCAGUAGGGAAUCUUCCACAAUGGGCGAAAGCCUGAUGGAGCAACGCCGCGUGAGUGAUGAAGGCCUUCGGGUUGUAAAACUCUGUCAUUCGGGACGAACCGGAGUCUGAGGAAAUGCAGACUCUCUGACGGUACCGGAGGAGGAAGCCCCGGCUAACUACGUGCCAGCAGCCGCGGUAAUACGUAGGGGGCAAGCGUUGUCCGGAUUCACUGGGCGUAAAGCGCGCGCAGGCGGUGAUGUAAGUCUGAGGUGAAAACCCGAAGCUCAACUUCGGGACUGCCUUGGAUACUGCGUCACUUGAGGAUAGGAGAGGCAAGGGGAAUUCCACGUGUAGCGGUGAAAUGCGUAGAGAUGUGGAGGAACACCUGUGGCGAAGGCGCCUUGCUGGCCUAUUUCUGACGCUGAGGCGCGAAAGCGUGGGGAGCAAACAGGAUUAGAUACCCUGGUAGUCCACGCUGUAAACGAUGAGUGCUAGGUGUAGGUGGGCUCAUACCCAUCUGUGCCGAAGCUAACGCAUUAAGCACNCCGCCGCGGGAGGUACGGUCGCGAGACGUAGAACGUACGAAGGAAGUUAGUACGGACGUUGGAGACGNGCCGACGGACGACACGAGGGGAGGUUAGG
rnacentral:rRNA from 1 species